rnacentral:lncRNA from 1 species
CGAAUACAUUUCCACAAUCCUCUAAUCCACAAUAUCACUACUUUGGUCCAUCCCAACUGUUUGGAUCCAACUAUAUCUCGGUUAUUAUUUAACCGGCGGUCUUCGGACUUUUCCCUUGUCCUCAGAGCACUACAUCUCGGUUAUUAUCUAACCGGCGGUCUUCGGACUCCCAGUCCUCAGAGCACUACAUCUCGGUUAUUAUUUAACCGGCGGUCUUCGGACUUUUCCCCUGUCCUCAGAGCACUACAUCUCGGUUAUUAUCUAACCGGCGGUCUUCGGACUCCCAGUCCUC